rnacentral:rRNA from 1 species
GGGCGGCCGAUGGCGGAUUAGCUAGUUGGUGGGGUAAAGGCCUACCAAGGCGACGAUCCGUAGCUGGUCUGAGAGGACGACCAGCCACACUGGGACUGAGACACGGCCCAGACUCCUACGGGAGGCAGCAGUGGGGAAUUUUGGACAAUGGGGGCAACCCUGAUCCAGCAAUGCCGCGUGUGUGAAGAAGGCCUUCGGGUUGUAAAGCACUUUUGUCCGGAAAGAAAACACGUGCCCUAAUACGGUGUGUGGAUGACGGUACCGGAAGAAUAAGCACCGGCUAACUACGUGCCAGCAGCCGCGGUAAUACGUAGGGUGCGAGCGUUAAUCGGAAUUACUGGGCGUAAAGCGUGCGCAGGCGGUUUGCUAAGACCGAUGUGAAAUCCCCGGGCUUAACCUGGGAACUGCAUUGGUGACUGGCAGGCUAGAGUAUGGCAGAGGGGGGUAGAAUUCCACGUGUAGCAGUGAAAUGCGUAGAGAUGUGGAGG